GAGGUGGAGUUGAAUGCAGUGGGAGGUUUCACUGCAUGAAGUACUUUAACUCAGAAGUCAGGCGUAGGGGUUUGGCUUCGGGCGCAGCGGCUGUAAAGACAAUACUGACUUUGCCGACACACUGCUAAAGUGGCUCUGACUAAACCACACUGGGUGUUCUCAUCGCCUCCCGAAACAUGCAUGAAUGGAAAUUAAAGUAGUUGGAGGUGUUUUAACACAAAAGAAGAUGUUUUGAAAAAUGGCUAAGUGGUGGGUUUUUUCCGUACAAUGAAGGUCAGUGGAGUCUGAUGUUUUUUUGGACUCCAGCAUUCUUCAAUAACAAAAGCCACACAGCUUUGAAAUUGCAUGAGGGAUGCCAUUUGAAAGUUCUGCCAACUUUUCUCCACUUUUAUUGACAGUCUAAGGCUCAUGCUGUGGGUCUUCAUUGUGCUUUAAAGUUAAAAGACUGUCAUUUUGUCACAGUAAUUAUGAGGACAAACAAUUACAGCAUCCCGCUGACGAAACAGUGAUGCCAAUCAAGAGCGGCGGCUCUUCCAGAAGCAAGUGGGAGCAGAAUUAAAAUGAGAGAGGAAAACUCAUCAGUGAGCGAGAAGGGGAGAUCAAAUACGCCAAUCAAGAGAUGAGGGUAUGUGCAUGAGUUUGCAAGUGUGUGCAGUUCUGCUGAUAAACAAACUCGGCCAUUAAAAACAGGACCUUGUUGUUGCAUUUCUGAAUUCAAGUACUGCUGCAGUAGAGAUAGACAUUUUAUGUCCCACUCUAAAAUUACCUACACUACUGGAACACAUACACCCGAAAAAAAAAAAAGAAGAAAAAUCACAAAUAACUACAAAGAAACAGAA